UUUUUAAAAUAGACAACCCAGGGUAUUCAAUAUGUUCAGUCUUUUUUAGUAGCCACUUAGUCACAUACACUGGCCAAAUUUAGCAUUUAUAUUUGUUUGUGUGUUAAAAACGAAAAAAAAAAACCCAAUUAUGAACGCUAACUUUGGCCAGUGUUUGUGACUAAGUGGCUACUAAAAAAGACUGAACAUACCCCAUUUGCAAUACCUUGGGUUGUCUUCUUUUGCAAA